AGUCCAAGCAAGACUGCGUGCGGUUACCAUGAAAUUCCAAACUGCGAGGUCGCUUCUUACACUGUAACCGGUUCCUCAUUCUAUGACGUUUCGUUGUAAUCGGGACGGUGCUUGCUCGUCGCAUGUACGGAAGCAUUCCACGCGGUCAAAGACGAUAACGAACGCCCAAUAUUUCGAAGAUUAUGAUAUUCUGUCCUCUUUUAUUAUAGUGAUUUUAUAAUUGUGAAUAGAUGACAACUCGAUGGCUCGUUGUGAGAAUUUAAUCGAUCAAUUGUUGAUGAUCGUAGCAAACGAAUAAAUAGGUAGACAAGCAUCAACUUUUAAGCUGACCGAUUAUUCACCUCAAUUCUCAACCGAACCAUCGGGAAUGCAAUCGAUAAAAGCUUCAAACUUAACUCGUAAUUUGUUCACCAAAAAAAUUGAUUCGCCGUUAUCGUUCGAACAAGAAAGUAACUACUGGAAGAUUCUAUGAAUGCGUUCACGACCAACGAAAGCUGGCAUCGAUCGAAUCUUCGACCUUACACGGUCGUAGUCGAAUAGACGGAAGUGGACACGGCGCCAUUUGCGGAGGACGCCGUAUCCUCCUUUUGUCAGCAAUUCGUCGUUGCUGCUGAGCUCUGACGAAGCAUCGCCGAAGAAAUUUCGUUACUUUCCAACCACCUGGCGACUUCCGGUGGCAUCUGCGGUCGGACAUGAGAGAUUUUAGGUUUUCUUAUUUAUAAUGAACGAGAAACUGAAAAUUCGUUAAAAAGUGUAGAAAAUUUUACCUGAGUUACACCCGCCUCCACGUUACCGUUCUGCUUGACGCCUCGUUCCAUAAGGGAACCGAUCACAGCCUCGGCGCUACAAUCCAAAAGCCUUUGUCUGCACAUCGCGAUGGCCCUGACGAAUCCGUCGCUGGGAGUGAUGAACCGAUGUUCCAUGAAUACGGACUUCUCAUCCCAAUAUAUUAUCUGCAAGGAUACAUGCCACGAAAACAUCGAAUAGUUAAAUAGGCAAAGUUACUUGUAACAACCUUAUGGGCGCAAUUAACUCUUCUCCUUUAUAAUGGAAAAAUGUAACCGGUUUUGAUUUGAUAUUCCACUUGCACCAUGAUAAAAGUGAUAGCGAGAAUACAUUUUGGAUACAAUGCGUCAUAUGAUCAUCGGAGUGCAUACAAAACUAUAGUGGCGAACACUUGGACAGCUUCGACUCUCUAAAAUAGUACCAGCAACGAUUUGCACACUAAGUGUCAACAAGUUCGUUUCCUUCUCGGUCUUAUCGGUUUUCCUAGAAGUUACCGAGAACAAAUGUUGAUAAUCGACCGGAUACCGAGAUCUCUGUGUCGAAGAAUCGUAAAAAUUUUCUAUGGUUUCUCAAGUCGAUCAGACAGAGAACAACGAACGUGACUGUGUAAUACGAUUUUACGUGAUCAAACUCACAUACCUUAGAAGUUAUUUUGUAGAUGGACAGAGGUUUCAGGAAGCGGCGAUAACGAAUGGUCGACGCUCCUUGUACGACACCCGAUCCUUGCGAACAGAUCUCGCGAUAGAGGCUGGUCCUUUCGUAAAAAUCCGCCCUGGCGAAAUCGAUCUCGCGAAGAUAUCUCGCAUUGUUCAUAUGAUAGAGUAAUGUGUCCACGUCCGUUGUCGUGCAAAUACCUGCGAAAAGUAAACUAAUACAACUAGAAAAGUAAAUUAGUACAGCCGCGAGAGUAAAUAGAAUGAGAUAAACGAUGAUUAUUCUUUUAUUAUGUAUGUUUCAAAGACUAAAAGGUUAAAGUUGAAGUUAAAUAGCAAUUUUCGAAGGUUGGUGUCAUGAAUUGUAUUUGACACACAAUUGCGAAACGUACGUUGCGAUUUUCCAUGACGGUCAAGAGAAUUAAAGAUGCGUGAUUUCAGCCGAAUAAUAACUAACCGCAAUCGCAUAUCGUGCCUCCGAUUAAAAGAAUACUUGAGAAAACUUUUCUGAUUUAACUAAUACGAUUAAAAACAAUUACUUAGAGGUUUAAGAAGAUAAGAUGAAAGAUAUGGAACAGAGAAUGAUGAAAAAGUUGUUUGAGUCGAGUUGCUGCAAGGACAGAUAAAUAAAAGAUCAGUAUUUGCUGGAAUAUAAUAAACAUAUUAAGUAUCCCGAGAGUUUAAUAUUCUUUGUUUGUCCCACGUGUCAUGUAAGUCCUGAUAAAAGUGUAUGUUCUUUCGUAGGUAAUUUCUGGAAUUCAGACCACCGUGUAUAGGAUGAGAACGCUACUGACAGAAAAGACGCAUACUGAUAAAACACGUUGCAAAAUUUACGUCGUUUACAUUUCGAUCUGUUGGUCCAGCUUUGUAGAAUUUCGCAGCACAGUACUGCACAAUCAAUACUCGUACGGAUUUGCGACACGAGCAACCGACCGGCCAACUGAUCGCGCAUGGGUUAAGCAGCCAACGUACCGUAAACGGUGGUCUCAUCGAGGAUAUGAACCUUCUUCUUGCAGAAGCGUGCAAGGAACACGGUCAAGCACAUACGCAAGAAAUAGUGAACUUCUACUAGGUUAUAGAGCAGCACGAUAGCUC